rnacentral:snRNA from 1 species
AGCUUUGCGCAGUGGCAGUAUCGUAGCCAAUGAGGUUUAUCCGAGGCGCGAUUAUUGCUAAUUGAAAAACACACCAGACAUGUGCACACGCAUGCAUGAAAUUCCAAGAAAGGA